UCGUUAGCUCGAUUCCACGCUCGAUUCCCAUGGUUGGUAGAUAAAUUCGCGUCAUUAGAGGUUAAUGGAUAAAUUCACGUGUCUUAUUGGAAACUUUUUUUUAUCAUCGGAUUAUUGUGUGCUAAUAAACGAGCAGCAUCAAUCAUCGUUAGUGAAAUGAAACGGACGAAUGCACACACGGAAACAUAUAAACGCAGGAUAACAUCGGAAUCCUAAGCUUUCUGGAGAUCUUCCGUAGCCAAAUACAACGACGACGACGCGACAACAUGCUCUGGGAGUUCGGAGGUCUGUUUACACGAGUUCGCAAAUAUAGCCAUAGGUAUCGGAGCCAACCGAAGCGAAGAAUUGAUAAAUUAGUUAUUCCGUCAGUCGUCUGCUGCUGUUCCUCCAGAAACAAGGAACUACAGGUCUUGUGGCGAUCUAAUGUUGCAGAAUCAAAAAGUAUAUUUUUCUGCGAAGCUGACAUAAUUUGAUGUAAUACAUGUAAUCUGAUACAUGUCAGAUGUUAGAGAUUAUACAAGGUUAUAAAUUAUUCGGAAAAGCUUUAAUAGUGGGCGUAGCUGGCCCGUUUAUCAUCGGAUAACAGUUCCGGAGUAUAUCCUUUGAAUGUAACUCUACUCUUGGGCAAACAAGACUAAGGGUUAUGACCAUUCUCGUUUGUCUUUGCAUCCAGAGAAUCUUCGCGCGAAAUCCCUAGCCAGGACCCAAUUAACUCUCUAAGAAUUCGAUCCUAUCCCAUGGUAAUUCUAAGAUAGUACGACUCUAACAGCAGAUUAGAAAAGACAAUAUUUGCUUCGGUGCUUCUGCGUCUAAUCGCAGAUGCGCCUUCACUUAAUAUCGCUUACUAUUUGUCUUCCCUUACAAUGGAAAUUUCCGACGUGGGUAUUACACAGAUAGAACAAAAAUCGAGGGUCACGUCCAAAAUGGCCAACAUCUCAUGCCAACUGCAACGCUUCUAAGAAUCCUUCGUCUCUGACCACAGAAACCCGUAUCCGCAUCGACGACGGUUUGAAUUGAAGAUUUUUGCGGACGGUAACUCGUUGGCUCACGCGCUAACGUAUUUGCAAGAUCCGCUGCGCUGAUGGACAUAUAAUGCGACGUGUGAUUGUAGGCCCGCCAAUCGCGGCCGAUUGUGCCUCUGAAGGCCCGCUAACUAUCUCAAACUAGCCCCAUUCAAACCGCUACGACCUCUCUCUAGCCGUCUCUAUCUACCAGCCCAGCCUCUGUGUCUCGCUCGUUCCAACCCUCAUUCACCGCCACCCUCCCCCUGGUACCCGUGCGUCUCGUUCAUCACCAAACUUCGCCUCUCUGUUGCUCUCAACUUGCGUCUCGUUUGCACCGACUUCACAGGACGAUUUUCCCUCCUACUCGGUGAAAACUCAGUCCUCAUUCGCCGUUCGAAUUCGACGUACGUUUCUUGCCGCACGUUUCUUCUGCACGCCCUGUAUCCCUCUCUAAUUUUCGACCGGCUCUCUCGCCACACACGUAAUCUUCUAUUUCAUUCGCUUUACCUUUCCUAAUGCGAUAGCUCGCUCCAUACACAUACAGUCGUAGCCUCAUCUCUUUUCAAUCUCACCUCGCGGAUCGAAUGUUUUGCCUUCCAUUUAACAUCCUUUAUCUCGCUCCCUCUAUUCAGCUCUCUCAAAAAAAGUUUUUCUUUUCGAGGUUCCGGCGAUUCCAUUCGCCCCGUUAUCUGGUCCUCCGUCCAUCUAAUGUUUCCACUUUCUUUUCAUCCGUUAAAUCGUGCAUCUCGUUUAACUCGACUUCCGUCGUUUUCUAUUUCACAAAUUCAUACAUUCUCGCCUCUAGCCAUUCCUUUUAAGAAUGUAAGCCCUACAUGCACUUUCUUCCCUGCUCCACCGUCACCGCUUCUCACUCGUUUGAUUUUCGCGUUCCUUUUCUCGAUUAUGCAGCACUGCUUCAUUUUCCCCCUUCUUAAAUCUAUGUUCUCUCUCACUUUCGUCCGUCUUUCACUCUCUCUCUCUCUUUCUCUCUCUCUCUCUCUCUCUCUCUCUCUCUCCCUCUCUCUUUCUCUCUCUCUCUCUCUCUCUCUCCCUCUCUCUUUCUCUCUCUCUACCCUUUCGAACCGCAACCAACUACCUCUCCUCUUUCAAUCUAUUCCCCCGACGUACCUUAUCUCUAUUCUCGGUCUCUGUUCGACCUGCUUCAUUCAUCGACACAAUCACGCAUGGUUACGUAGGUACAUUCCGCUAGGCGUCACCGAGUAUUCGUCCCGAUUCGAAUUCUCGACCCUAUAUAACCGUGGCACGUUCUACGUGGGAAUUUCAAAUCUAUCAGCGACCCAGACGAAUGCAAAUCGCGCAUGAAGCGCGCUUAAUAAAGCCUCGCACGCGGCCCGCAACUCGCAAUUUUCUUUUCGACGCUACGUGUCGCACGCUCCUCUUAAUGAAACCUUCGCAUGCACCGUGCGCAAUUCGCGGCUACGCUUCCAUUCAACACGCAUCUCCGUCCCGCGAUACCGUUAGAAAAAGAACGCACUCGGGAUCGUUAAGCUUCGGCCCAGGGGAGAGAACGAGGGCCAUUUCAACUCCCUUGUAGAAAGAGAUCCGUUCAUAAGAAUACAAGUUCCAUAGAAUAAAACUUUUCUAGUAAAUCACGGAAAUUCUAUUAUCUAAUAAACUUUAUGGAUAUAGAUAAAACGAUAGACUUAA